rnacentral:lncRNA from 1 species
CGGCGUCACACAAGUAUAGGAUACAACCACGUUGUACAUACAUACAAUCACCACAUCACAUACACAUUCUCAUUCAUUCCAUCACAGAUAAUCAUCAUUCCACAUCUAUUAGUUCAAAACGUUUCCCACUCGAAAACUUUUUUUGAAAUACUAGGAAUCAUGAAAACCAGAAACCCUUUUUAAAACCGUUUCCCACGGAAAUAUUUUUCUUUAAAAACACGCUACCACGAGGGGUAGAAAACUAUUUUCAUCUCAUGAAAAUCAUCAAUUCUUCAUUACAUUCACAAAAUCCCAUUU